rnacentral:rRNA from 1 species
GACCGGUGACGGAGCGGCGGACUGGUGAGUAACACGUAGCUAACCUGCCCCCUUGACGGGGACAACCAUCCGAAAGGAUGGCUAAUACCCGAUGUUGUCCGGGAUUGUAGGAUCCCGGACCAAAGGCGGUUCUGCCGUCGCAAGGGGAGGGGGCUGCGCCCUAUUAGCUUGUUGGUGAGGUAACGGCUUACCAAGGCGAUGAUGGGUAGCUGGUCUGAGAGGACGAUCAGCCACAUUGGGACUGAGAUACGGCCCAGACUCCUACGGGAGGCAGCAGUGGGGAAUCUUGGCCAAUGGACGAAAGUCUGAGCCAGCGACACCGCGUGGGGGAUGAAGGCUUUCGGGUCGUAAACCCCUUUUCUGAGGGAAGAAUAAGGUCGGGAGGAAAUGCCCGUCCGAUGACGGUACCCCAGGAACAAGCAUCGGCAAACUUCGUGCCAGCAGCCGCGGUAAGACGAAGGAUGCGAGCGUUAUCCGGAAUCACUGGGCGUAAAGGGCGUCUAGGCGGUCGGGUAAGUCACUUGUGAAAGCCCGCGGCACAACUGCGGAAGGUCUCGUGAUACUGCUCGACUCGGGUGCAGGAGAGGGAAGUGGAACUCACAGAGUAGCGGUGGAAUGCGUAGAUACUGUGAGGUACCCCGAUGGCGAAGGCAACUUCCUGGCCUGCUACCGACGCUGAAGCGCGAAAGCGUGGGGAGCGAAGGGGAUUAGAUACCCCCGUAGUCCACGCCCCAAACGAUGUUCACUUGGUGUCGGCCGCCUAUGUAGGUCGGUGCCGGAGCUAACGCGUUAAGUGAACCGCCUGAGGAUUACGGCCGCAAGGCUAAAACUCAAGAGAAUUGACGGGCCCCCGCACAAGCGGUGGAGCACGUGGUUUAAUUCGAUGGUAAGCGAAGAACCUCACCUGGGCUUGACAUACUAGUGGUAGGAACCUGAAAGGGGGACGACCCUGCCUUCGGGUAGGGAGCUAGUACAGCUGAUGCAUGGCUGUCGUCAGCUCGUGUCGUGGGAUGUAGGGUUAAGUCCCGAAACGAGCGCAACCCUUGUCGUUAGUUGCCAGCGGGUCAUGCCGGGGACUCUAACGAGACUGCUGGUGAAUAGCCGGAGGAGGGCGGGGAUGACGUCAAGUCAUCAUGUCCCUUACGCCCAGGGCGACACACAUGCUACAAUGGGAGGUACAGAGGGUAGCGAACCCGUAAGGUGGAGCCAAUCCCACAAAGCCUCCCUCA